UGCCAGGCAUGUUUUCACAUGUGAGGAAUUUGUUUUAGUGCCAGAUUUAAGCAACAAGGACCAAGAGCUUUAACUUCUGCUCCAACACACACCAUGAUCUCUACAUCCCUACUGCUGCUGCUGCUGGCAGCCGUACACUGUGUUCACAGUGUUGAGCUGAUCCAGACCGGAUCCACAGUAUUAACUAUUGGUCAGUCACUGACUCUGACCUGUAAAGUGUCUGGAUAUUCAUUAACUGAUAACAGCUACUGUAUACACUGGAUACGACAACCUGCAGGAAAAACUCUGGAAUGGAUUGGAUGUAUAUGUGGUAAUGGUAACACUUACUACAGUGAGAAACUGAAAAGCAGGUUUCAGAUUUCCAGAGACACGUCCAGCAGCACAGUGACAUUAACAGGACAGAACAUGCAGACUGAAGACACAGCUGAGUAUUACUGCGCUCUUGAACUACAAUGUGUUCUGUGCUACUGAGCUCAUCCAGCCAGACUCACUGCUUAUAAAGCCAGGAGAGACUUUAACCAUCACCUGUAAAGUGUCUGGAGCUUCUAUCACUGAUAGCAGCAGCCACCAUGGAACAGCUUGGAUUCGACAACCUGCAGGAAAAGCUUUAGAAUGGAUCAACAACAUUUAUUAUAGUGGGAGUAUUGAUAAGAAAGAUUCACUUAAAGACAAGUUUGUGGUCUCUCGAGACACUUCCAGUAACUCUGUGACCUUACGGGGACAGAACAUGCAGACUGAAGACACAGCUGUGUAUUACUGCGCUCGUGUAACACACAGUGACACAACAAGCUGCAGUGCUGCACAAAAACCUCAUCACAAUUCACUUCUUUAAUUAAAU